rnacentral:rRNA from 1 species
CAAGAGAAAAGCUGUCGUUAUAUUAAAGUUUGAAUUUAACUUUUAAGUGAAAAGGCUUAUAUAUUCUAAAGGGACGAUAAGACCCUAUAAAACUUUACCUUGCUUGUUAAUAUUUUAUUUAAUUUUGUUCUCCCCAAAUUUAAAUUUAAUUUUUUGUUAUGUUGGGGAGACAAAAUCUAUAAUUUAUAUUAACUGCUUGAAGAAAAAUCAAUAGAAAUUUAUCGACCCUUAUUUAUAGAUCCCUUAUACACAUUGAAAGAUUAAUCUACUUUAAGGAUAACAGCGUUUUUUUUUUUGAUAGAUCAUAU